AAGCGGUGGAGCAUGUGGUUAAUUCGACGCAACGCGAAGAACCUUACCUGGGCUUGACAUCCCGAUCGCACCGUUAUGGAAACAUAGGGGUCAGUUCGGCUGGAUCGGUGACAGGUGCUGCAUGGCUGUCGUCAGCUCGUGUCGUGAGAUGUUGGGUUAAGUCCCGCAACGAGCGCAACCCUUGUCCUUAGUUGCCAGCAUUCAGUUGGGCACUCUAAGGAGACUGCCGGUGUCAAACCGGAGGAAGUGGGGAUGACGUCAAGUCCUCAUGGCCCUUAUGUCCAGGGCUACACACGUGCUACAAUGGCCGGUACAAAGGGGCGCAAGACCGCGAGGUGGAGCAAAUCCCAAAAAACCGGUCUCAGUUCGGAUUGGAGUCUGCAACUCGACUCCAUGAAGUUGGAAUCGCUAGUAAUCGCGUAUCAGCAUGACGCGGUGAAUACGUUCCCGGGCCUU
rnacentral:rRNA from 1 species